AGCGAACGCUGGCGGCAGGCCUAACACAUGCAAGUCGAACGGAUCCUUCGGGAUUAGUGGCGGACGGGUGAGUAACACGUGGGAACGUGCCCUUUGGUUCGGAACAACUCAGGGAAACUUGAGCUAAUACCGGAUGUGCCCUUCGGGGGAAAGAUUUAUCGCCAUUGGAGCGGCCCGCGUCUGAUUAGCUAGUUGGUGAGGUAACGGCCCACCAAGGCGACGAUCAGUAGCUGGUCUGAGAGGAUGAUCAGCCACACUGGGACUGAGACACGGCCCAGACUCCUACGGGAGGCAGCAGUGGGGAAUCUUGCGCAAUGGGCGAAAGCCUGACGCAGCCAUGCCGCGUGAAUGAUGAAGGUCUUAGGAUUGUAAAAUUCUUUCAGCGGGGACGAUAAUGACGGUACCCGCACAAGAAGCUCCGGCUAACUUCGUG
rnacentral:rRNA from 1 species